rnacentral:rRNA from 1 species
ACAUGCAGUCGAACGAUGAAGCCCUUCGGGGUGGAUUAGUGGCGAACGGGUGAGUAACACGUGGGCAAUCUGCCCUGACUCUGGGACAAGCCCUGGAAACGGGGUCUAAUACCGGAUACGACCACCGGCCGCAUGGUCUGGUGGUGGAAAGCUCCGGCGGUGAGGAUGAGCCCGCGGCCUAUCAGCUUGUUGGUGGGGUGAUGGCCUACCAAGGCGACGACGGGUAGCCGGCCUGAGAGGGCGACCGGCCACACUGGGACUGAGACACGGCCCAGACUCCUACGGGAGGCAGCAGUGGGGAAUAUUGCACAAUGGGCGAAAGCCUGAUGCAGCGACGCCGCGUGAGGGAUGACGGCCUUCGGGUUGUAAACCUCUUUCAGCAGGGAAGAAGCGUGAGUGACGGUACCUGCAGAAGAAGCACCGGCUAACUACGUGCCA